AGUGAACGCUGGCGGCAGGCCUAAUACAUGCAAGUCGAACGGCAGCACAGCAGAGCUUGCUCUGUGGGUGGCGAGUGGCGGACGGGUGAGGAAUACGUGGGAAUCUGCCCAGUCGUGGGGGAUAACGUAGGGAAACUUACGCUAAUACCGCAUGCGCCCUUCGGGGGAAAGCCGGGGACCUUCGGGCCUGGCGCGAUUGGAUGAGCCCAGUCGGAUUAGCUAGUUGGCGGGGUAAAGGCCCACCAAGGCGACGAUCCGUAGCUGGUCUGAGAGGAUGAUCAGCCACACUGGAACUGAGACACGGUCCAGACUCCUACGGGAGGCAGCAGUAGGGAAUAUUGGACAAUGGGCGCAAGCCUGAUCCAGCCAUGCCGCGUGAGUGAAGAAGGCCCUCGGGUUGUAAAG
rnacentral:rRNA from 1 species